rnacentral:rRNA from 1 species
ACGUAGGGGGCAAGCGUUAUCCGGAUUUACUGGGUGUAAAGGGAGCGUAGACUGCAUGGCAAGCCAGAUGUGAAAGCCCGAGGCUCAACCCCGGGACUGCAUUUGGAACUGUCAGGCUAGAGUGUCGGAGAGGAAAGCGGAAUUCCUAGUGUAGCGGUGAAAUGCGUAGAUAUUAGGAGGAACACCAGUGGCGAAGGCGGCUUUCUGGACGAUGACUGACGUUGAGGCUCGAAAGCGUGGGGAGCAAACAG